UACGGGGGGGGCAAGCGUUGUUCGGAAUUACUGGGCGUAAAGGGCUCGUAGGCGGCCAACUAAGUCAGAUGUGAAAUCCCCAGGCUUAACCUGGGAACUGCAUCUGAUACUGGAUGGCUUGAAUCCGGGAGAGGGAUGCAGAAUUCCAGGUGUAGCGGUGAAAUGCGUAGAUAUCUGGAGGAAUACCGGUGGCGAAGGCGGCAUCCUGGACCGGCAUUGACGCUGAGGAGCGAAAGCUAGGGGAGCAAACGGG
rnacentral:rRNA from 1 species